AUGACAGGGAUUUUGCUCUCAGUAGUUCAGAGGCAAAAUGAACUACAGACUGGGACAAAAGGUGUGAAAUCUCUCAUUGGUAAAAUCACAAAUUUGCCAGGUAAAGAAUUCCAUAUAAAGUGUUUCAGCCUUCACUUGCAGAUCAUGAAAAAUAUGAUGGAGAUCCGCAGAAUACUCAUAAACUGUAUAUUGUUAUCACAAUAAAAAAAUACAAAAAGCUGUCCAUAUUGGGAAAAAGAUAUAAUACAGAUGCUCAGAUUAGAAAACACAUAUACUCCUCAAGUUCACAAGCAUAUCUCUUCAGUGAAUGCAAAACUGACAGUGGUUAAAUAGUUGCUAAGAAUCAAGCCCCUGAAGUUGCCACAAGGACUGCCAAUUGAGGAGGACAUGUCUAAGCUCUGCCUCCAGAGCACUGGGGAAUUAAUGCAGUGGCACAGUGGCAUCUGAAAUCUGUGGAGCAGAAAGCAGUUAAGUCCUAAUGCCUGAGGAGCUUCAGAUUUAAAAAUGGAAAUUGUUUUUUUAUUUAAAGAUGAUGAGAAAGUGUUUCAUUAAAAUAUAUUUUAAAUAUAUUAAAAAAAAAAAAAGAAAGUGGGCGAAAGAAGGAAGUAAAGAAUUGAGAUUGGUCAUUAGAGAAUAACUUCCUGACAACAAAAACUGAGACAUAGAACACAUUAUCAAAGAACAUUAUGUUGGAUAAACUGAAGAAAAUACAACCUUGUGAAUGGCUGUCAACACAAAUAGUGUCAACAUACACACAAGAUGGGGAAGUACAAAUAUACUCUACUUGGCUCAGCCCCACUUAUAAUUUAAAAUAGAAAAAUAAAAAAAGGAAAGUGGUAAAAUAAGCUUGACAGUACCAGUCAGGGGAUUGCACUACAAUUCUGCCAGCUUAAAUACAAGUUAGCUAAAUGCUAACCCUAGCUGAGAGCAGUGCUUCAUGCCUGUAAUGCCAGAACUUUGGGAGGCCAAAGUGGGAGAAUCACUUGAGCCCAGGAUUUUGAGACCAGCCAAGGCAAAACAGUGUGAGUUCAUCGCUACAAAAUAUAAAAAAAUUAGCCAGGUGUGGUGGCAUGUUCCUACAGUACCAGCUGCUCAGAAGGGUGAGGUGGGAAGACAGCUUGAGCAUGGGAUGUUGAGGUUGCAGUGACCCAUGACUGCACUACUGCUCUCCAGCCUGGGUGACAGUGAGACCUUGUCUAAAAAAAAAAGCUAAUCCAAAUAUUUGUAUAACAUUUUUCAAAGAAUCUAUCAAGGCACAGGUACUAUUUUGUAAUUUCCUUCAAUUCACUAUGCAUUAAGAUACAGCAUCUCUAUUUUCUCUAUACAUUCAUAUUCAUAAGAGAACAAGUAUCCUAGUCUACACUCAACACUGGUCAUCACAAAUGUACUGGUAAGAUAAAAUCCAUAGCUUGUUAGUUUCUUAAAUAUGUGUUGGGAGAACUCUGAAUGAAAGACACCACAAAGAUAACUUCCUUUUGAGAUUAAAAACAAAAACAAAAAACCACACACACACAUACGCAACUCUGGCAGAACUGUUAGACCUGGGAAAGUCAUCUGUCUCAUGCCUGCUCACCUUUUCUCUCACUCAGAUGAAAUGCUCCCACAGGCAAAGAUCCAAAGCUGAUUGCCUCAGGAAGCUGCAGAGUCAACAUUUUCAUUUACCCCUUUUCAGUGUUUGCUGAGUUUUGAUGUGAACUUUUACUAAUCCAUAAAGAAUGGGAAAUCUAAACAUUUCUGGUAGUAACAGAAUUCUCUCACUCUCAUUAUUAAAAAGA